rnacentral:lncRNA from 1 species
CUCGAAGCUCCUGGAAGAAUGAAUGUAAGAGAACCGAGGAUGAAGAAGGAAAGCAUGUUACCCACAAAGACUGAGGUGGCUUGCACCCCUCACAAAGCCCUGAAAGAGAAGACCCCAAAGCUCAUUCUCAUCCUUUCAGACCUUCCGUAAGCUUCCGUCUUUUCAGUUGCACCUCUUUCAAAGUCAGUUCUGUGAAGAACGUACCAGGGUUGAAGGAGCUCAACAGUGGCUUGAGAUGUAAAACACGAGGGCAACCAAGGAAAUAAGGGACCACACCUCAUUUGCUCUGGACUUCACUCUGCUGGACUCACAGAUCCCCUCAUUGUGGAGACUUGCUGAGCCAAAGGGGUGCUGCAGAACUGAGGCAUCCUCCAGCUGGUGGUUGUAGCUGAAAGAAUAUUUAAUGCAAGGACUGAUGACUGCGCUAUGACUGCUUUGCUAUUUGAAGAGCGGAUUCCAUUGUCAGCCAGAGGUGAAAUGUUUGUGCAGAGAUAGCCCAAAUCUUCCAAAAUGAGCCAUCUCUUCAGUAAUAG